rnacentral:ncRNA from 1 species
AAGCAAAGAUAAAAACGCAACGUGUGUAGCGAUACAUACAAGAGUCGGUAGGUAGCCCGACCGUCCUGCUUGUCAGGGUAAGUAACCUGCCCCUCCGGGUUGUCCAUUCUUUGCUCAUU